CGUUUUGUGCCAAACCACCACCGUCGAGAAACCCCUCUCCCUUCUCUUCUCCUUCUUCCUCUUCUUCCUCUGUCUCGCCUCCUCCUCUUCGUGAGCUCUAACAACGCUACACGCAGUUGUAACCCCACCUCCUCCUCCUCUGCGUAUUGGUUUUUCACUGCUUUUCCACUGAGAAUCGACGAGUAAGCACGCCAAAUCGCUAGAAUCGCGUCUAUGGUGGUGACUGAUAUCCAAGGUAGCAGGGUGGCGAGAAGUUGCUGUCCAUGCCCCAAUUCAAAACCAAACUCAAAUACAAGCCGCAAUCCUUUGAGAAGAAGGCUUGAACCGUAGGUUUAUGUAUGUUAAGCUUUAUUUCUCCAUUUUUUUCAGGACAAUAGGUAACUGAUUAACUGAUUAACUGGUUAUAUAGAUUUUAUAUUCCCUUGUUUGCUUU